rnacentral:rRNA from 1 species
UGGGGAAUUUUGGACAAUGGGCGCAAGCCUGAUCCAGCCAUGCCGCGUGAGUGAAGAAGGCCUUCGGGUUGUAAAGCUCUUUCGGUGGGGAAGAAAUUGCACGGGAUAAUACCCUGUGUAGAUGACGGUACCUGGAGAAGAAGCACCGGCUAACUACGUGCCAGCAGCCGCGGUAAUACGUAGGGUGCGAGCGUUAAUCGGAAUUACUGGGCGUAAAGCGUGCGCAGGCGGUUGGAUAAGUCAGAUGUGAAAUCCCCGGGCUCAACCUGGGAACUGCAUUUGAGACUGCCCAGCUGGAGUUUGGCAGAGGGGGGUGGAAUUCCACGUGUAGCAGUGAAAUGCGUAGAGAUGUGGAGGAACACCGAUGGCGAAGGCAGCCCCCUGGGCCAAUACUGACGCUCAUGCACGAAAGCGUGGGGAGCAAACAGGAUUAGAUACCCUGGUAGUCCACGCCCUAAACGAUGUCAACUAGGUGUUGGGAGGGUUAAACCUUUUAGUGCCGUAGCUAACGCGUGAAGUGACCGCCCU